GAGCUUGCUUUGGCAGUACAUACACUAAAAUUGAAAAGAUAAACGGAAGAUUAGCAUGAUUCCUGGACAAGGAUGACACAUUUUUUUUUUAAUUCCAUAUUUUU
ensembl:snRNA U6 U6 spliceosomal RNA